rnacentral:rRNA from 1 species
CCCUUAGAUGUUCUGGGCCGCACGCGCGCUACACUGAUGCAUUCAACGAGCCUAUCCUUGACCGACAGGUCCGGGUAAUCUUUGAAUCUGCAUCGUGACGGGGAUAGAUUAUUGCAAUUAUUAAUCUUCAACGAGGAAUGCCCAGUAGGCGCAAGUCAUCAGCUUGCGUCGAUUACGUCCCUGCCCUUUGUACACACCGCCCGUCGCUCCUACCGAUUGGGUGUGCUGGUGAAAUGUUCGGAUCGGCCGUUUGUCGCGGUUUCCGCGUCAUGUGGCUGAGAAGUUCAUUAAACCCUCCCACCUAGAGGAAGGAGAAGUCGUAACA